UUUUUUUUUUUUUAUCCCCCAGGUGAUCUCUGAUAUUCCCCGCGGGAUUUUUUAAUUCUCUGAAUCGAGGAUCAGACGGAUCUGCCGGAACCCAGGCCUGGUUGUACACCUUGCGCGUGGGCGUGGUCAUCUCUUGCACAACUUAACAAGUGCACCCCUAGGGACUUGCCUUGUGGCCAUUACUGGCGUCCUGUGGGGUGGGGUGUCUGCCAUUGCUGUGCUCCAGUGCACUCCACUGUAUCUGUAAGGCUAACCUGCCCUGGAGAUAGGAAGCCCGUGGGAGCAGAGAGGAGGGACCUUGUCUGCCUCUCAGCCUUUGCUUCUGCAGCGGAAGAACUUACCUUCAAUCCCUGAUCUGCCCACUACCGAGCCUCAAGUCAGCAGCAUCAGGUGGUGGAAUGUGGUGUCCAGAAGAGAUAUCCAGUCUCCGGGUUUUUUCUAGUCAUUUCCUGGGAAGACACGGCUGAUGGAAGUCAUCUUAAGAGCAUGCAAACCAUGGACGAUAGCAAAGAUAACCAGGAGAGGGUGGUGUCAAUGCUGGUGUCAUGGUCACUGGCUUUGAGAGCAGCAGGAACUCUAACCUGCCAACUCUUAUUUCAUAAGUGCUGGAAGCGAUCCAGGUGGAUGCAUCCCGGAUGCUAAGGAAUUCCUCGGUCUGAGACAUUUUGUUGGAUUUCUACAAUGUUCAAUCCCUGGAGCCCAUAUGGAAAAGCUGAAGGCAGUGACACACAUCUACAAGUACAGCACUCCUGUGGAGAGGAUGGAGAGACAGAAAUGGAGACAGAACUGCGGAGAAGCUGAUAGAGCAGCUAACACGAAGAAUUAGAACAUCAGAAAAAGAAGGUUUUGCCCAAACAAGGUAGAAGACAAGAACUGACUCCUUAAAGCUAUGUGUCCUGACUUCCACACACAGGCAGUAGCACAAGCAUGCCUAUACAUAUGUGGGCAUGUGUGCACACAUGUGCAUGCAUGUGCACACACGGACAACAAUAAAAAGGUGGCUAUUGGCUCUUCCCUAUUUCAGAGAUAGCUGCAGUGCCAGCCGCACCUCUGAGACAUGAAGGUCAAGUUCAGAGUGAACAGAUUGGGUGGUAUUGGGUGCCUAGUCACUAGGGAUGUCUUCAACUUGGGCAAAGUGGGUACUGUUCUCAUCAAGGAUCCAUUCAUUGACUUCGGGUACACGUCAUGCAUGUUUCAGUAUGAUUCUACUCAUAGAAAUGUCUGCCACAUGGAGAAACAGGAAAUUUGUCACUAGCAGGAAAGCAACCGCAAUCUUGCAGGAGAGCGAUCUCGUCAACAUCAAAUGGGGAGCUGCUGCUACUGAGUAUGCUUUAAGUCACCAUCUCUGCAUCUUCUGCCGAUGCCCCCAUGUUUGUAAUGGGUGUGAACCAUGAGACAUAUGACUACUCAUGCAAGAUUGUUAGCAAUCCUCCUGCACCACCUACUGCUUAGGCCCCUGGCCAACAUCAUCCAUAACAAGUUUGGCAUCAUGGAGGGACUCACAAGCAGGGUCUAUGUCCCUGCCAUCACCCAGAGGACUGCAAAUAGGCCACACUUCUAAGAAACUGUGGAGGAAUGGCCAUGGGACUACCUAGAGCAUCAUCUCUGAAUCCACUGGUGCUUCCAAGGCUGUGGGCAAAGUCAUCCCAGAGCCGAACAGGAAGCUCAUUGGUGUGAUCUUUCGUAUUACUACCCCUCACGGCAGUAGAUCUGACUUGCCAUCUGCAGAAAGCUGACAAAUAUGAUGAUAGGAAGGUGGUGAAGCCAGGAUUGUCCAGCUUUCUUGAGAGCUUGUUUGGAGGUUCUAGCAGGGGAGCGCAGCUACUCGUAUACCCUUGACCGAAGACCGGUCCUCCUCUAUUCGGGGAAGGUCGUCCUCUUCGACCGAGCGCGCAGCUUCGGGAGGGACGCACAUGGAGCGGUGAGGGAGGAAGGGGACACCCGCCUAGCCAGCCAGAUCAGCCGAAUCAACCCUGGCGAUCAAUGGGGUGACAGAUGUCGCAGCCAGAUCGCCCUCACAUCCUGUCCAGCUUUCUUAAAUGGCAUCCUGAGCUAUACAAGCUUGCAGCUUUAACAGUGAUGACUUUCGCUCUUCUACACUGGAUGCCAGGGGCUGUCAUUGUCAUCAGCAGCCACAGUGAAACUAUUUAAUUUGGCUACGGCAAGGGAUUGGAGGUCCUUGUGGUUGGUUACACUGGCCUCUGAAGAGUAGGAAGCCCUGGGUUACAUAUCCCAGUAAGAACAGGAGAGAGAGGGAAGAGCGGUCCUCAUCUGCUGGGGAGUCCCUGCUCCAACUUAAUCCACCCCAAGGUCCUCUCCUUACAAUUUUCAUUGCAGACCCCAAGUCAACGUGGCUCUGGCACUGUUCAUUUUGGAAGUAAAAAAGACGUGAUGAUGUUCACACCACAAUUAAAGUUUCUUUCCAGAGUGCUCCAAGCCACUUUGAUUCAUAAUUGUUGUUUUCCAAAGCAAGUUAUAGGGCCACAUUUCGUUCAAAGCAGAAGUAUACACCACUGUUCAUCCUAAACACAUGGGAAAUAUUGCACAGUGGUUGUAGUGACAUUGUCCAGGAACAAAAAGGAAGAGAACUUUAAAGACCUGACAGCCCACAGGUCACUUCUAUGGCUUGCUCAGGUUUGGCAAACAGCCCCUUCUCUCAUCGGAAGGCAAUGGUACUGAUCACCUUCUAUGUUUAUAGACUUGGGAAUGGAAUCUGGCUAUCUCUGUGUCUAGGCUGACUGGCUCAAUUUGGGUGACUCUAUUGGGCUCUUCAGUCUCAAGGAAACACUGGAUGGAAAUUAUCCUAGCCCAAUGUGCAUGUAAAGUUAUCAGGGAGUUCAGAUCUGCAGCAGAGGAGGUUGUCUUAUGAGACAACCAGAGUUAGGUUGGUACAGGAGACAAGGGCUCAUGGGAGCGCUCCAUGGAGUUGACUUCAGUGACUAGUGAUUGGGAAAUCUUGGCUCCAUUGGGCAGGACACAGAAGAAGUGAACUGUGAAAAAUAAUACCAGAGGGAGCUAGGAAGGAAGAACAUGAAUCAGGCCAGCCUCAGUGCUGACAGAGGGCUGAGCUCGAACAGGCUUGCUGCUUUCUAAGAUGUCUGGCCAAUAGAAAAAUGUAUUGGUCUCCUGCAGAAGAACGCUCUCUGUCAAGUCACCUGCUACAUAGAAAACUCCAUCUCUUUCUUUGAACAGCAGUGUUUAGAGUAAAAUAUAGAUCUCUAAGAAUGAGGUUCAGAAAGGAUAAUGAGGGUAAAGGCUCUGGUUGGAACAGACAUCAGAGUAGGACUCUCAGUCCUACGAGGUAAACGAAACAGGAUGUGUAAGAGAGUGUGGGGAGACGACGAAGGUACAUCUGGCUGGUGCUGCUGUAUUGGGGUUGCUCAGCGACUACUUCCUGGCAGAAACAAGAUCCAAACCAUCUUAAAAGAAAUAUAAAGGAUGGUGGGAUGGCUGAGUGAGUAAAGGUGCUCGCCACCAUGCCUGAUGACCUGAGUUUGAUCUCUGAGACCCACAUGAUAGAAGGAAAGCAUCCUAUCCUGUCCUAUCCUGUUCCUGUUCCUGUUCCUGUCUCCCUGUCCUCCCUGUCCUCCCUGUCCUCCCUGUCCUCCCUGUCCUCCCUGUCCUCCCUGUCCUCCCUGUCCUCCCUGUCUCCCUGUCCCUGUCCCUAAAAGUUCCCUGAACUCUACACACAUAAUCUGUGGCACAUAUGUCUGUUUUCUCUCUCCUACACACAUACAAAAAGUAAUCAAAUCUUUACAAAGGCAUAGAAGUUAUAGCCUAGAGGUUCAUUGUGGGUGUAAGCUAUGUUGCAAGCAAGAAGCAAGGAUGUCAGAUUUGAAUGAGUGGGCGUGGCUGUGUUGGGUGCAGUUAGACCUUAAGGCAAAGGCCAGGAGAGGGAAGAGGUGAGAUGAGAGGGAGGGCAGAUCAGAAUCAUGAAGCAUCUUUGAUAGCACAAUAAAGAAUUUGAAUAUUUCUUUUUUUGUCUUAGUCUGCUUGGGCUCAUAAGAAACUAAGAAUGAAUAAUUUGUAAACAACAAAAAUCCCCUUCUCGGUUCUGGAGGAUAAGAAUUUUAGGGUCAAGGUACUAGCAGAUUUGGUGUCUGCUCUCUGCUUUGUUGACCACACCUCUAGCUCUAUCUUCGUAGGCUGGAAGAGAGGCAGGGAAGUUCCAUUGGACACUUUUAUGAAGACACUCACUCAUAAUCUACAGUAUUUAUGAUGUAAUCAUUUUCCUAAGGGCCUGGCUUCAUAGAACGGUGACUUUAAUGGGGUGGAGUGGGGGUGGUUAUCCACUGGAAUUAUAGGAGUUUGACUUUAACGAAUUGUAUGAGACUGGCAGGCCAGAUCUCAGAGCUUAUUUUUCCUGUUUGUUCAAGGAAGGUAUGAACUGACUUGUAACUGAGAUCACAGUGCUAAGAAAUCAGAUGGAAAAGUGAGGGUAAAACAAGCCUAGCCUGUGGUUACUCACCUAUCGCAGAUGUUACUUAGCUAUCUUUAUUACUCUGUCUGAUAAGCAUAGUAGUUCUAGUGCUUUUGUGAAUUAAGUCAGUGGCACCUAUCAUUUUUCGGAAGAGCCUCUGUCUGAUGCAGGUUGGUGGAGGGACAUAGUAAAUUGAAAAAAAAAAUCUGAGCUAACACCGUUCACCCCUGUCGUCAAUAUAGUGAUGACAUCAGAUCAAGAUGUGUCUCUUCUUUUGACUGUCCUGGCUCCUUCCUUCUUUUCCAGGGCUGGUUCUCUGGGUAACUCACUCACAUCCACAAUCUCCAGGGAUCAAGUGUCUUUGCCUGUACCUUACAGAGGCUUGGAGAAGGGAACCUCUUCAAGGACUACAAAGUACAGGGACCCCCAUCCUGAACUUAGUACAAAUGGGAGACAGUAACAAUUUUGGUUUCUUUGAGCCAAGCCCUGGGAUCAGACUAGUAUAACAAUGUCUUGGCUUUGGAAAAAGCAAUGGCCUUUCUCAGUUCUGCUCAAGCCAGAGCUUGGGACAAAGCUGCUUUCUUAGUAAUCACUUGACAUAUAAGCACAUUAUCUCCUUUCCUGGCCCCACCACCACUUCUGGAACUAGCCGGAGACACCCCACCAAUUCUCCGACAGUAUGUUCUUUAUUCUUGUAAUCCUGCCUCGUUCCUAUUUCAGACCUGGCUGUUUGCUUCUCUAUCAUUGCCUCCCUCUUAAUACUUGUUUUAAUUGGAUGGCACCCAUUUCCCACAAUCCUUUCCUUUGGACUUAAAACGCUAAGCCUUUGUUGAUUUUGUUGUUUUCUUUCUGUGAGUUAAUGACUAACAUAUUAUGAGUAUGAAUAUUCGUUUAAGAGAGAGGAACAACUUCUAGUCAAGUUGUAAAAAGUAAUUUAAUACUUUGACACGCUCCUGCUGUAAGAUUUAGGUACGAGGCAUAAAACACAGAGAAGAAAAAGUACUAACUUGAAACACAACAUGAAACACCUGCAAUCCCAGUCUUGUAGGAAACAUGGUAACAUUUUAGGAAUGUUCUUCACUUUCACCUUAAAAUGAGACUGAACUGGGGAAAAAAAAAUGAACUUCUUUGGACUUUAGAAAUGAGCUCAUAAGAGGGGUUGCCUUUACAGGCCUAAGUGGUUCUGGGUCAGAAAGCAUGAGGAAGCUAACACCAAUCACAGUAAUCUUCCACAGAAAUCGAAGGACUGGACACAUGUGUUUAUAAAGGCCAGGCAUUAGAGUGUGGCUCUGUUCCAAACACCACCCUAUGGCCUUUUGAAGUACAAUGGGCUGUGUUCUAGACCAGGGUAGGAAAAGAUGUAGGCGCAACUACAAAACUCCCAGAAUAAAGGAAAACAAAGAAAGACAAAGGAGGAAAACAAAACCCACCCAAUUAAAAACAAGCCUCCAAAUUAGGAACUACAAACUCAUAAGUGAAUCUAAUGUUGAGACAUAAAUUGAUCAGAAAUGAGAUCAAUUCUUGAUGUGUUGUAAUGAUGAACAUAAAGAUGAUAUGGCCACCAUAGAACCCUUAGAAGUCUUAUGAUAUGUUACUAUUUUUUAUAUAUAAGAUACUCAGGGAAAACAAAAACCACAUAGAUACAAAUAACUUGUUUGCUUUAGCUAUGAAGAGUAUGCUAAUUACAAGCAACGAGUAACCAAGUAACAGACCACCAGGCCAAAAUCAUUUUUUGUAAGGAGGGCUCCAUGAGCCAAAGGGUUUGUAAGAGGAUGGCAGCGUGAAUUAUUAUUACUUUGCCUUGACCCCUGCUCUUAAUGAAUUGUGUUAUUUCAGUCUAUCAGAGUCUUUAUGUUGUAUAUACUUAAGGUAUUCAAGGAGAAAAAAGAAAGGCAUACAUCUAUCAUAAAGAACUGUAAAGCAGAAAUAACAAAAUCUAAAAUGAAAAGUAAUGAAUAAGAAAGCUUGGAAACAGGAAAAAAAUAGUCCUUGAAAAGUGAAAUUUCACCCUUGCAAGGCUAACUAAUGAACUGGACAGUACUGGUGAAAUGUACUCAGAGCACAGCACAGAGGGACAAAGGGCUAAGGACAUCUAGGAGACGAUAAGUCUCAGAGAAAGGCCAUUUGACUUUAGAUACAUUCUGACAGUAUGUAGUCAUUCUUAAAAACAAUGUUAUAUUUAAUGAAAAUCUACAUAUGUAGUAGGAUUAUGCAAAACAUGCAAAAGAAUAAUAAACACCAGAUUCAAGAAAAGCUUUUUCUGAAGUAGGCAGGGGCUGGGGGAAGGGGUGAAAACCAAAUCACAUUGCCACCAGCACACAAUUCCUUAACCUCUUGCUGCCCUCCUUAGAAAACUAUUUCUGAGCAGGCAGGCUUCUCUGGGACACACAGAAUGCAGCCUGUUUGUUACCUGGCCCUUUCAUUGCACGUCAUUGACACCAUGUGUUAUCUAUAGCUGUAUUCUUCCCCAAAUAUUAUGUAGCUAAAGGAAAUGUAACAAAAUGUUAAGAUUUAUUGGCAGGAUGGGUAACAGCCUCCAUUUUGGUCUCUUUAUUGUAUCUCUUUGUCAAAUGGAAAUAUUUCAUUUGUAAGUCAAUUUAUGAAGUUAAAAGUAAUCAGAAGCCAGGUACUUAGCAUAAGCCUUUCAAGCUCUUUUUCUGGACUGAAUUUCUUGGAAUCAUUUUCUAACACUUCUUACAUAUUCAAGUCUCCAAAUCCUCUCUGGAGUCUAGUUGCCUCAUCGGUGUAGUAGCUGUAAUCUGGUGAGGUAGAGUAAGAUGGCAGUCACGAUUCCACCCCACCCCACCCCUGACCAGCCCUGCCUUGUUGCAGGUAUAUCCAAUUAAACAUGACAGCUAUGCCGGUGCUAAAUCAGCUUCACAGGACCAAGGAACCUGUGAGAGUGACAAUGGUGGCUGCUUUCAGUAAGGCAAAAGGAAAUGGCUGUGGGAGAAGGCAAGACUUGCCCAGCAUCCCUUCUCCAACUAUCAGUACAGCACUUUGUUCUGCUUGAAGGAGGAGGAAAAGUUAAGUUUAGAUCUCAUCUUAAAGUGAUGUGUUCGGUGAACUACAGUGAAACUCCAUGCUAGGCAAAGCCCCAUGCUACUGCCAGGCCAAUGUCUGUGUGCUGAGCAGCUGUAGCCACAGAAGCUAAAUUAGACCAGAUGGCCAAUAGCUUCCACCACACUUCUACCCAGUUGCAGGAUUUUGCCUUCAGAGAAAGGCACGGUACCCAGUGUAGGCUUUUGACUUGGAGCCCAGUGCCAGACCAGUAUAACUUGGAGGUUCAGUAUAUUUGCCAGACCAUAGACAAGAUCUCCAAACAAACUCUGCUGUAUCUAAAGAUCUGUAUGCUGGUGUGACAAACUCAAGGUUUAGCCUACAUUCUGUCUAGCUUUGAGUGUGUCAGAAGCAAACCUGUCCCUCUCUUACGAUGAUACAGGACUCCAAGGCUGUGAGACUCAAAUUUACCCAGCUUAAUCAGCCCCUUAGUAACGGACUGUCUUCACCAGCCGUGCACUAACCUUAAAUAGGUUAUCUGUCACCAGCCCAGUCCAUAUAGGUAGUGUUCCAGAUCUUUCUGGGCAUUAGGCAAAGGCCUGCUUCCUAUUAGCAAAGACUCACAUUUUUACCUAUUGGUUUUGACAAGCUAUUGGCUUAGGGUAUAGCAUAUCUUGGUAGUAUUAGCAUCUGCCAGGAUGACAUAAAGUUCCGGAGCUGCUAUAUCCACAGUAACUGCUUAGGUUUGGGCAGAAUUCCUUUGUUUUUAAUGGUAGGAACAUGCAGACCUACCCUGGUCCUGAGACAGACUUUUGGUACUAGACCACUUCUAUGUUCUUUCUUGUUUGCUUUGAGUAAUACUCCAAAGGUAUAGUUUGGGAAAGACCUGGUCUUGGAUUGCCUUCCAGUAUUGAAAUUGUGACAUCAAAUAGUGACACAUUCCAGCAGCAGGAUUCCAGCAACUGUGGACCUGGGUAACAGCCAAUGCUGAGACAGUGUAACUAUAGAUUAAAAAAAAAUGAAGAGGCUGCUUAGAAUUUCUGGAAAGGCAGGAACAAAACAAAAAAGAUUAAGAGGAGAAGAAUGAAUAUCAAAUCCUCAACAUUCAAGCAAUAUCAAAAGCCACAAGCACCAAGAACUCUCAGAAAUACUACCUUCCCUAAUAAGGAGUUUGAAAAUGGCUGCUAGUAACCAGUGCAGAAGAACUCUGGAGAAUUUACAAGUGUUUCGACUGUCCAACUGAAACCUUACGGGCCAGGAGAGAGUGGUAUAAGAUUACAAAGUAUUGAACGAACUAUAAAAUCACUUCUAACAAGAGUGCUAUACCCAGCAAAACUAUCAUUCAGAGAUGAAGGCGUGAUGGUCAUUCCCAGUCAGACUAAUAAAAGCAGAGAGAAUAUAUUUUCACAAGAUCUGUUCUAUAAGGAUUACUAGAGAGGCAUUCAAAUUGAAAGAUUAUUAAUGAAUAAGAAGAAAACCUAUACUCACUGGUAAGAGGGUUGCACAAACAAACUCAGGAUACUCUUUUUGUAAGAACAGUGCAUAUAACAUUCAUGCCUGAGAAUAAAAACAAAAAACCCUAUAAAAAUAUUAAAUAUAUUGACAUGGUUUA